UGGGGGAUCGUCUAAUGGUAGGACAGCAGACUCUGACUCUGCUUGUGAGGGUUCGAAUCCUUCUCCCCCAGCCA
rnacentral:tRNA from 1 species